UACCUGCAGCUCAAGUGGUGGCCGCUAUUAUUGGGCCUAAAACGUUCGUAGCCGGUUGAGUAAAUGCCUGGGUAAAUUGUGCCGCUUAACGGUACGAAUUCCGGGUAGACUACUCAGCUUGAGACCGGGAGAAGCUAGAGGUACUCCUGGGGUAGAGGUGAAAUUCUGUAAUCCUGGGGGGACCACCAGUGGCGAAGGCGUCUAGCUAGAACGGGUCUGACGGUGAGGAACGAAACCCUGGGGCGCAAACCGGAUUAGAUACCCGGGUAGUCCAGGGCGCAAACGCUGCUUGCUUGUUGUUAGCUGGGCUCCGAGCUCAGCUAGUGUCGGAGAGAAGUUGUUAAGCAAGCUGCCUGGGAAGUACGAUCGCAAGAUUGAAACUUAAAGGAAUUGGGCGGGGAGCACAGCAACGGGUGGAGCGUGCGGUUU
rnacentral:rRNA from 1 species